rnacentral:lncRNA from 1 species
AAUCUCACAGACAGCAGUAGGACACAGCCUGUACACCAAGCUCGGGAGGAGCUGGGCAGACUCCGUUUACAGAAGAGUGAAGAGGAAAUCAGAAUAUUCUCAGAUGAAGAAAAGCAGAGAAUUUGUCAUUGGGAGACCUGCCCUAAAAGAAUGGCCCUAAUGGAAGUUCCUAAAAAAAGAGGAGACACUGAUAAAAAAAAAAAAAAAAAAAAAAAAAAAAACUUGAAGUAUUAUAAAAGUAUCAUAAAGAAAGAGGAGCAGGAGCAUACAGAAACUACUGAGAGAUACAUUAUCUGAGAUCCAUAUCAAGCACAUAAAAGAUUGAGAAAAAUAAUGCAAUAAAUGUAAUUCUUAAAUAACAGAUAAAUGCUACUUGCCCUCAAAAGAAGGAUUAAGAGGGGGAGGAGGAAGAGCUGCAAGUGGUGCCGUGUCACCUCUGAAAGCACCACCCUGGAGGCCCCGUGAUUUAUAAGGACAGUAGUUAAUAGUUUCUGUCA